rnacentral:rRNA from 1 species
GAGUUUGAUCCUGGCUCAGAACGAACGCUGGCGGCGUGCUUAACACAUGCAAGUCGAACGUGAUCCGGAGCUUGCUCCGGUGAAAGUGGCGCACGGGUGAGUAACGCGUGGAUAACCUGCCCUGGUAUCUGGGAUAACAUCUCGAAAGGGGUGCUAAUACCGGAUAAGCCUACGGGAUCUUCGGAUUCUGCAGGAAAAGGAGGCCUCUAUUUAUAAGCUUCCGUAUCAUGAUGGGUCCGCGUACCAUUAGCUAGUUGGUGGGGUAAUGGCCUACCAAGGCGACGAUGGUUAGCUGGUCUGAGAGGAUGAUCAGCCACACUGGAACUGAGACACGGUCCAGACUCCUACGGGAGGCAGCAGUGGGGAAUUUUGCGCAAUGGGGGAAACCCUGACGCAGCAACGCCGCGUGAGUGAUGAAGGCUUUCGGGUCGUAAAGCUCUGUCAGAGGGGAAGAAAUGAAACGUGCUAAUAUCACGUUUUCUUGACGGUACCCUCAAAGGAAGCACCGGCUAACUCCGUGCCAGCAGCCGCGGUAAUACAAGGGCGCCCSCSRCARAWAUCCAUCACACUGGCGGSCGGGGCGAGCAGGCARAAGAGGKCCGGAGKASACACCCUAGUARUUUUUU